rnacentral:rRNA from 1 species
UGGGGAAUAUUGGGCAAUGGGCGCAAGCCUGACCCAGCAACGCCGCGUGAAGGAAGAAGGCUUUCGGGUUGUAAACUUCUUUUGUCAGGGAAGAGGAGAAGACUGUACCUGGCGAAUAAGCCACGGCUAACUACGUGCCAGCAGCCGCGGUAAUACGUAGGUGGCAAGCGUUGUCCGGAUUUACUGGGUGUAAAGGGCGUGUAGCCGGGUCUGCAAGUCAGAUGUGAAAUCCAUGGGCUUAACCCAUGAACUGCAUUUGAAACUGUGGAUCUUGAGUGCUGGAGGGGCAAUCGGAAUUCCUAGUGUAGCGGUGAAAUGCGUAGAUAUUAGGAGGAACACCAGUGGCGAAGGCGGAUUGCUGGACAGUAACUGACGG